AGGUGACAAAGUUUUAAUUGCAACCGAUGGUGAUCUCAUUGGUGCUAUUAACCAUGCUAGAACAACAGGAUUGAAGGUUUUAAGGUUGCAUCUGGAUUUUUUUGAUUCAAGUUAUCAAACAAGAUCACAGCCAGGUACACUGACCACCCAAAGGACGGCAUGGAGUUCUUUCCACACUUCUAUUUUGGCAAGCGCUCUUGUUUUAACGGGCAUUGGUGUGCUGGUCUACCUAAAGCGCUCAAAGUUAUGAAAUUAUGAUGACUUGAUGAAAUUGAAUUACUAAGAAAGUAGAUGAAUUGAGGAUUCCGCCAACAUCUGCAGAUAUUGUUGUGCAGAUCUUUGAGAAUGAAUUAGCUUUAGAGAAAAUGCCUUUUAGUGAUAUCAGGAGACGUCAACAUGAUCAGAAAAGACUGAUUCUGUUGUGCAUGAGGAUUAAAAUUAAUCGCCAAUACAUUUAAAAUGCAAGAUGGAUUGCAUUUUUCGCAGGACAAUUUGUUUUGAAUGAUAAGAGCUAGACUCCAAAUUUUAGGUGUUACAUGAACCGUUAGCUAAAUAGUUUCACUUUUAGUAUUCAUUACUGUUCUGCAAGCAAAUAUCUUCGACGUUACUUCACAUGGAAUUUUUAAGGGGGU
rnacentral:misc_RNA from 1 species